ensembl:lncRNA
AAGCCUCCCUGGAUGCAGGAACCACGUGGAGAUGUUCUCCUGCUUCCUGUGCCCCAGAUCACGGUUCCACAUUGAAGACUCACCCCUCCUUCCUUGGCCUCUCUUCCGCCCCCUUGAGGCACCAGCCUGUCACCCAGGAGCUCCAAGAACAGUGGGGCAGACACCCACGCCCNNNNNNNNNNNNNNNNNNNNNNNNNNNNNNNNNNNNNNNNNNNNNNNNNNNNNNNNNNNNNNNNNNNNNNNNNNNNNNNNNNNNNNNNNNNNNNNNNNNAGCCUGUCACCCAGGAGCUCCAAGAACAGUGGGGCAGACACCCACGCCCCUCACAUGACUGGGACAGGCCUCUCAGAGGCCAGCACCCUGCCCCCGGGCAGGGAUGGCUGGUCCCUCCUUCUGCAAGUGUCCACAGGGUGUGGCCAGACAACGUAAGUGCCCAGCCCAGUGUCACACUGGAAAGCACAGCAUCCUUCCCUCAGCUCCAGCCCGAGUGGCCCAGGGCGGCCCGAGGACCAGGCUGCGAGCUCCAGAGACAACUCCCGGCAGGCAGGGCAGGGGCAGGGCACCUGCAGAGGAGCAGGAUGACUGCGUGGAUGGCCGACAGGACCAGCUCCCUCGGACGAGGUUAGGCUGCGGAGGCAGCAGAUGGCCUCGCGUCUUAUCCUGGAGGAGGAAGGAGCCGGCACCCCAUGCGGGCAAGGGUGGGGCUGGAGAAGUCCUUCGUGGCAGAGGGAGGAGGGGGAUCAGAGCAGCAGGGGAACUGGGCCCAGAUUCAGCCUUGACCAGGAUGGCCAGUCCCCACCCUGCAGGGACCUACAGUCACAGAAUGAUGCUGCUGACUUGGGGGCUGUGGGGGAGGGAGGUGUGAGCAGCUAGGAAUGGCACUCCAUCUCUGGCGCUGGGGUCUCUGGUCAGGGAGGGCUACCCACAGGGAGGACCUGGGCUCUUCUUCACUAGCCCCACUUCAAACCAAAUCAGACUUUCCUGAAGCACCCACCCACUGAGCCAUUUCUGAUCCCCAAGAGGGUUUGCAUGGUGUGGUCACUGACAGAGGUUUGGGGGACCUUAGGAUGGGGAUGAGGGAGGGGGAGACCGAGAGGUGGGCAGUGCCCACCUUUGAGGGGACAGCACUGACCUUGACAGGAAGGGCAGUGUAGGGGACAAGUCUCAGUUGCCCCAUAGCAGCAGUUGAGUUGGAAGAGUACAUCCCAGCAGGACACAAUCUAAGGAUGUCGCUGGGGUUUUGCUCAGAUAGUGGAAUUUGGCAUCAAGUGUGGAGUAAGAGAAGCACCCAGAGGUAUGAUGUGCCCUCAUGAGAUAAUGAGCCCCAGUAUGCACCCAAGCUCCCAAGUGCUCCAUGGACCCGGGGACACAGAACAGACUGAGAGAAAGAAGGGGUCGUGAGGUGCUGGCCUCAGCUUCAGAACAGGCUGGUAGAGAGAAUGGACUGUGAGGUGGUGAUCUCAGCUUCAGCCCACAGCCCAAGGCAGAGUGAUAUGAGUGUGCCCCUGAGCUGGAGCCGACUGCAGACAACACCCGUGGGCUGGCUGCCUGGUGCCCCAGCAACUUCUCAGGGAAUCAAGGAGCUGGAGGAUGAGCCAGCCCUGCAGGGGUAGGAGAGUCUGUGUGGGCAACAGGGGCCCAGCAGGGCAAUCUGGGCGAAGCGGCCUCCCUGGAAACCACUGCGGGGGCCAUGUUUUCUCUGAGCCUUUGUUGCUUUGUUACCAAGGACGUUCUGUUCCAGCUCCCUACCCCUCACCUGAGAUCAUCGUCCAUCUUUGUGAAAAGUCAGAGUAAUUCUUUCCAUCCCCGCUGGCCAGGUUGGGUGUAUGCAGGCCAGGUCAUGUUGGCAUGACAACAAGACAGGCCGGGAGGAGGGAAGCGCUACCUCAAUGCUCAGCAAUGGCGUGUGGCCCCCUCCUCCCAGCCUGGGCCUCUUCCAGGGGAGAACGCCCGGCUCCUGUGUCCACACUGUCCUCGAUGCUCUGCGUGCCUGCUGGGUGCCAGGCCACAUGUGGGAAGGUCCUUCCCUGAACCUUCGUGAUCUCAAUAUGCUGCAGGCAUUCCUUUUUUUUUUUUUUUUUAGGCAUUCCUUUUUUAAUGCAUUCAUUUACUUCUGGUUGUGCUGGGUCUUCGCUGCUGCGAGGGCUUUUCUCUAGUUGUGGCAAGUAGAGGGCUGCUCUCUAGUCGCAGUAUACAAGCUUCUCACUGCGGAGGCUUCUCUCAUUACAGAGCAUCAGCUCUCGGCACGCAGGCUUCGGGUAGUUGUGGUGCAUGGGCUUAGCUGCUCUGCAGCAUGUGGGAUCUUCCAAGAUCAGGGAUCAAACCCAUGUCUCCUGCCUUGAUGGGGGGAUUCUUUACCACCGAGCCACCAGGGAAGCCCCAGGCAUUCAUUUCAUCCUGAGUUUAAAGAUUCAAAUCUGAUGCUAGACCCUUGCAUGUAUGUUCAAUUGGUUUUCAACAAAGAUGCCAAGAUCAUUCAAUGAGGAAUGGACAGCCUUUUCAACAAAUGGUGCUUCCAACCAAACACCCACAUGCAAAAGGAUGAAGUCAGACCCCUACGAAAUAGCAUAUACAAAAAUUAAGUAUAAAAGACUCAAAGACCUAAAUGGAAGAGUUAAAACUGUAAGUCUUAGAAAGAAGACGCAAAUCUUUGUGACCCUGGAUUAGACAAUUUCUUAGAUAUGACACCAAAAGCACAGCAAGCAAAUUAAAAAUUAAGUAAUCAAAAUUAAUAAUUUUGUGAUACAAAGGACAUCAUCAAGAAUGUGAAAGGCAAGGCAUGAGAGGAAAUACUUGCAAAUCAUAUACCUGAUCUAGAAUAUAUAAAGAACUCCUAAAUUCAAAUAAUAAAAAGACAAAGAAAAUACACAAAUGGGCAAGAAGCACAUGAAAAAGAUGUCUUCUUUCACUAGCUGUCAGGGAAGUACAACAAGAUACCACUUCAUUCUCUUUGUAAUGGUUAUAGUCAAAAAGAUAGAGAACCAGAGUAUUGGUGAGAAUGGGGGAAAAUCAGAAACCUCAUACAUUGCUGUUCCAGAAGCUCCUCAAAAGAUUAAACACAGAGUUACCUUCUGACCCAAGCAAUUCCACUCCUGGAUAUAUACCCAGGAGAAGUGAAAACACCUCCACGCCAAAAAUAUGUAAUGUUUGUUGCAGCAUUAUUCAUAAUAGAUGAAUAACCAAAAUAAUCAAAAUGUCCACCAAAUUAAUGGAUAAGCAAAAUGGGGCCCACCUGUACCAUGGAAUUUCACUCAGCCAUACAAAAGAAUGACACAGGCUUCAUUCAGCACGGUGCACCUUGAGAAAAGCAUGCUAAGUGAAUGACACGCAUACAAAAGACCACAUAUGAUUUGAUUCCAUUUAUAUGAAAGGUCCAAAACAGGCAAAUUCAUAGAGAGAGAAAGUAGACUCGUGGUUGCCAAGAGCUGGGGCAUGAUUGCUGAUGGGGACAAGGUUUCCUUUUGGGAUGACAAAAUGCUUCUGAAAUUGACUGUGGUGAUGGCUGCACAACUCUGUGAAUGCACAACGAACCAUUUAAUGGUAUACUUGAAGCAGGUGAAUUGUACAGUGCAUGAAUUAUAUCUCCAUAAGGCUGUAUCAAGAACAACGGAGGCCCAGUACAGUAAUCAACAGACCAUGUUCCACACAAAGGGCAGAGGCAGGACUUGAACUCAGGCCCUUCAGGUCAAAGCUCUUCACCGCCUGCUCUGUUACCUCCUGCAGACUUAUGCCUUUGAGUAAGGUCUAACUCUGGACUUCCUCAACACCAAUCAUCUAGCCCCACAUGCUAUUCAAUCCAUGGUCCACAUGUGUGGUCUACGUGUGAGCUGUAGGGGGUCACAGCCACAGAAACUCAGGGGCACUGUCCUGAAAGGGUCUUUAAAAAUCACUGAGUCAGCUUCCCAUCUUCUCCUGGACUUGCUCUCUUUGUAUCCUCAGUGGGAUCAUCCACCAUCCCAUGAGGUAAGCCCUCCACCUCACUU